rnacentral:rRNA from 1 species
GNAGGGUGCAAGCGUUAAUCGGANUNACUGGGCGUAAAGCGCACGCAGGCGGUNUGUUAAGNCAGAUGUGAAAUCCCNGGGCUCAACCUGNGAACUGCAUNUGAUACUGNCAAGCUUGAGUCUUGUAGAGGNGGGUAGAAUUCCAGGUGUAGCGGUGAAAUGCGUAGAGAUCUGGAGGAAUACCGGUGGCGAAGGCGGCCNNCUGGACUANNACUGACGCUCAGGUGCGAAAGCGUGGGNAGCGAACAGGAUUAGAUACCCUGGUAGUCCACGCNGUAAACGAUGUCUACUUGGAGGUUGUGCCCUUGAGGCGUGGCUUCCGGAGCUAACGCGUUAAGUCGACCGCCUGGGGAGU